UUUAAUUUUUAACUCUAUUUGUUGUGAUAUCUCAAUUUUUAUAAUAUUUUUUAUUUUAUUUUUUAGUAAAAUAUUUUAAUUUAUUUUUAUUUUUUUUAGUUUUUUGAGAGUAUUAAAAAUUUGUUUUUUGAACUGGAUUAGUACCCAGGUAAUCAAAAUUUAUUAAUUCGGGAGUAAAGUUUUAUUUAAACCGAAAAAAUAUUGACUGACUUUAGAUUUUUCUUUGGAACAUGUGUUUUUAUUGGAGAGCCCUCUUUUUUAGUGAGUUUUAUUGACACAUGUAUGAUUGUUUAGUUUUUAUUUUAUUUUGUAAUGCUUUUUUUGUUUUGGCAUUAAAAACAGAUAUAUAUUUGGUUUAUAAAUUUAUUAUUCAUGUGUUACUAUUAUAAAUUUUUUUUGGAUUAAUUUUUUAUUUUAUUUUUGAAAUUGGAAAAGAAAGUAAUUUUUUCUUAAUGUUUUAAUGAAUU
rnacentral:rRNA from 1 species